UCAGGGCUGCGCGAUUAGUCAUUGCUGACAGCGGCCUCCGCCGGGGCUCACAGGGUGCAGCCGGCGUCGCGAUCCUUCAAGCGUCGGUCUGGUCGCCAUCCUCCAUCCUCCACGGCGUCCACUGCUGGUGACCGAGCCGCGGGCGGGGUAGCUUCGAGGGUAGCCGCAAGGCGGCGGGAGGCGCACCGGUGGCACAUCGAGAGGCUGGAGGAAAACACGGCUGGACCGUCGACUGUUCCCACGCGGGCUCCACAGCCAGGGGGGGAGCAUGAUGGAUUCACCACCGCAGUGUGUACCCCAGGGGAGGAGAGGCGGUGCUGAUCGCAAAGGCAAGAGCCCUCUCGUUCACGAAGAGCAACCUUUUGGAAUGUUUUUCAGCACCUCGAUGGGCUACCCCACUAUUCCUAUUCCACCCAUUUAUGUCGUCUGGGCAUGGCUGUUUGGCUCCCCGCUCGCUGAUCGCAAUGAAGUUUUGUUCCACCGCGCGAGCCGAAAAGCAAAAUGGUCGGACUUCAGAACAUUAAAGGAGGGGACAAACGUGUCGAGAGUGAUAGUAGAUGCAUGGUGUUUGGUGCUCAAUGCUAGGGAAAGGUAUCGGAGAUGGAGUGCGCCUUCCCGUCUAUUUGCCACGAUGGCCGCUACAAUUGGGAUCGGACUAUUGUGGGUAUUUCAUCCAGUUGCGACGAGAGGCUAUCGUGGUUUAAAUGGCGACUAGAUGCUGAUGUGCAGACAACAGACCACGUGGGGAUGGCCACAUUAGACAUGUAUAUCUUCCCGAUAUUGCAAAAGGGACGUUACUAUGUGAUGAGAAUCAGUGUCAAGUGAUCCAGGUUCGACAUUAUUGACAACUCGUCGGCAACGAACACGGGCACAGAAAUGUAUGGGGGAGCACCGGCAGAACUGUUUGAUUGCAGAUAGACCUCCUGGCUGCGUGCUUAGAUAGUAAAAAACAAACACUUCAUGCACACCGCUUAAGGAACUUGCAACCCACAAGGAUGCAGUUGUCAUGGAGCGACACCGCUACCAACUUAGACUCUGCAGCGUAUGCGAUGUGACACAUGGAGUCCUUCGUUGGACAGGAGUGCACCAGUUGGCAUUCUGGGCUUGAAAGAGGGAAUCUCGUACUAUUUCUAAACCUGCAGAAAAGGUUCAUGCACAACAUCCUGCUGAGUGCAGUAAAUGGCAGCAUGCAGAGUAUUGUAACACAGUAUGACCGCCACAGGUUCACACAUCUGCUCUAAGGAUUAGCUCAACCGUAGCAGUAGCAAGAUCACAAGUAAAGGGUGUACCCGUAAAUAAUGUAGUACUGUUUUUCUCAUUUUAAAUACGUUUUCUUUCACUUUUACAUGAUCAUCAUAGAACGUUUGAAUGUUGUCUUACAUGACUGUAAAGAAAUUAAAACACAACUG